rnacentral:lncRNA from 1 species
AUUUGGUUUAAUUUGAUUGGCUGGGGAGUGGCAGAGACUACCAUAGGCAUGUCAUUUGGUUUAAUUUGAUUGGCUGGGGCGUGGCAGAGACUACCAUAGGCAUGUCAUUUGGUUUAAUUUGAUUGGCUGGGGCGUGGCAGAGACUACCAUAGGCAUGUCAUUUGGUUUAAUUUGAUUGGCUGGGGCGUGGCAGAGACUACCAUAGGCAUGUCAUUUGGUUUAAUUUGAUUGGCUGGGGAGUGGCAGAGACUACCAUAGGCAUGUCAUUUGGUUUAAUUUUAUUGGCUGGGGAGUGGCAGAGACUACCAUAGAAUUAAAAUGCCUAGAUUGGUCAUGCCUAUGGAAACUAGCCUGUUAAGACCUGAUGGCUCUAUAGUGCAUUGCCUGUUAGACUAGGGCAGUGUCCCGAACGAUCGACCACCUCGGUGAUCUCAGCAGCUGUUUGAAUGGUCCCCCUAAUUCAACUCCCCUAAAUACACCGAACAAAAAUAUAAAACACAAAAUGUAAAGUGUUGGUCCCAUGUUUCAUGAGCUGAAAUAAAAGAUCCCAGAAAUGUUCCAUACGCAUAAAAAGCUGAUUUCUCUAAAAUGUUGUGCACAAAUUCGUUUACAUCCCUGUUAGUGAGCAUUACUCCUUUGCCAAAAUAAUCCAUCCACCUGACAGGUGUGGCACAUCAAGAAGAAAAACAAACAUCAUGAUCAUUACACAGGUGCACCUUGUGCUGGGGAUAAUAAAAGACCACUUAAAUGUGAAGUUUUGUCACGCAACACAAUGCCACAGAUGUCUGAUGUUUUGAGGGAGUGCGCAAUUGCCAUGCUGACUACAGGAAUGUCCACCAGAGCUGUUUACAGAUAAUUAAAUGUUAAUAUCUCUACCAUAAGCCUCCUCCAACGUCGUUUUAGAGAAUUUGGCAGUACAUCCAACCGGCCUCACAACCGCAGAGACCACAAGUUACCACGCCAACCCAGGACCUCCACUUCCGGCUUCUUCAUCUGAUGGAUCGUCUGGGGGAGGGCUGAGGAGUAUACUCAUUCUGAUUGGCUGGGCCUGGCAGCCAAGCAGUUGGGCCUUUGCCCACCAAGGCCCACCCAUGGCUGCAACCUGCCCAGUCAUGUGACAUCCAUAGAUUAUGGCCUAAUUCAUUUAUUUCAAUUGACUGGAUUUCCUUUUUUAUGAACUAUAACUCAGUGUUGCGUUUAUAUGUUUGUUCAGUAUAUUGGGGUUAAUCACAUAACGUGAGAGAAUGAGAAAUGGUUAAAUAUUAUAAUAGCUCAUCUGUACUGUGGUAGAUACUUUAUCCGUGGACUAUUAUACUGUGAAUUUGUUUCUGUCAACGGCUAGCUAGUCGUCCGCCCACAGCUGUAACAAUACACUAACCCAAUCGUUCCUGAGACCAGGGGUUAGGGGAAGAGAACCCAUGCUGUCUAUUCAACAAAUAUCUAGAACCAUCCAUCCAGGUAGGUAGUAUAUACUAAACACCUGUCUAGAACCAUCCAUCCAGGUAGGUAGUAUACACUAACACACUGAACACCUGUCUAGAACCAUCCAUCCAUCCAUCCAGGUAGGUAGUAUACACUAACACACUGAACACCUGUCUAGAACCAUCCAUCCAGGUAGUAUACACUAACACACUGAACACCUGUCUAGAACCAUCCAUCCAUCCAUCCAGGUAGGUAGUAUAUACUAAACACCUGUCUAGAACCAUCCAUCCAUCCAUCCAGGUAGGUAGUAUACACUAACACACUGAACACCUGUCUAGAACCAUCCAUCCAUCCAUCCAGGUAGGUAGUAUACACUAAACACAUUUUCUACAAUGGUCACCUCUAUCAUUAUUGCACAGUGAUUAGCAGCAGAGAGCUGAGACAGUAUGACUGUCUCAAAGGGCACCCUAUUCCCUAUAUAGUGCGCUACUUUAGACCAGGGUCCAUAGAGUACUGUGACAGCUAGGGUCAGCAGUCUUAGCCUAAAUACAUCACACAGCUAGAAUGCCAACAAACAGCCUGGUCCCUUUGAGCUCUGGUCAAAGUGCAGCACGAUAUGGAGAAGUUGUUCAUGAAAUGGAAGCAUUUCACUGUUGUUUUAGAAGCAUGUGACAAAUACAAUUUGGAUUUGAGAUGCCCCCAAGGAGUGGACAGAGAGAAGUCUGACCCUAAAGCUAAACCUCGUUGACGGUCCUCUCAGAGGGUCUGUAGUCUAAACCUCGUUGACGGUCCUCUCAGAGGGUCUGUAGUCUAAACCUCGUUGACGGUCCUCUCAGAGGGUCUGUAGUCUAAACCUCGUU